GUAUCCCACAGUGAUUUAACUCCUAAUAUGAUGAGUAUCAAACCGUUAAAAUAAUACUGCUGUGGUCCCAUGAAAUACAGGGCACACAAGGUGUUGAUAUUUUAAUCCUCAUAAUUGCUGUUUUCAAAGUAGAAAAGUGUUGCUUUGCAUUUGGUUAAAUUUUGUCUUUCCCUUGAACAGUGUCCUUUAUCCGCCACAGAGUGACAGACGUUUCCAGCGUGUCUCCAGCUUUUGUAGUGAUGAAUUUUGACCAAGAGGGAAACGUGACAACAUUUGAGAAAAAGAAAACAGAGCUUUGUCAGGAGCUAAGUCUUCAGGCCAGAGACCUUCGCUUUCAGCACAGUACCAGCCUCAUCCCAAGGAACAACUGCAUUAUCAUACGAUUGGA